rnacentral:misc_RNA from 1 species
AACGCACAUUGCGCCCGCCAGCAUUCUGGCGGGCAUGCCUGUUCGAGCGUCAUUUCAACCAUCAAGCCCCGGGCUUGUGUUGGGGACCUGCGGCUGCCGCAGGCCCCGAAAACCAGUGGCGGGCUCGCUAGUCACCCCGAGCGUAGUAGUUUACACCUCGCUCAGGGCGUGCUGCGGGUUCCGGCCGUUAAACCCCAAAUACCCAAGGUUGACCUCGGAUCAGGUAGGAAGACCCGCUGAACUUAA